GCCCGGGUGGCGGAAUUGGCAGACGCGCAUGGUUGAGGGCCAUGUGCCCGCAAGGGCGUGCUGGUUCGACUCCAGUCCCGGGCA
rnacentral:tRNA from 2 species